CUCGGCAACGGAUAUCUCGGCUCUCACAUCAAUGAAGAAUGUAGCAAAAUGCGAUACUUGGUGUGAAUUGCAGAAUUUGCGCCCGAAUCCUUCGGGCCGAGGGCACGCCUGCCUGGGCGUCACACAUUGCGUCGCCCUCUCCCCCCGCU
rnacentral:rRNA from 1 species